rnacentral:rRNA from 1 species
UACGUAGGGUGCAAGCGUUAAUCGGAAUUACUGGGCGUAAAGCGCACGUAGGCGGACCAUCAAGUCGGGGGUGAAAUCCCGGGGCUCAACCCCGGAACUGCCUCCGAGACUGCUGGUCUGGAGGUCGAGAGAGGUGAGUGGAAUUCCGAGUGUAGAGGUGAAAUUCGUAGAUAUUCGGAGGAACACCAGUGGCGAAGGCGGCUCACUGGCUCGAUUCUGACGCUGAGGUGCGAAAGCGUGGGGAGCAAACAGG